GGUUGUGGCUCAGUGGCAGAGUGCUUGCCUAGCAUGUGCGAGGCACUGGGUUCGAUUCUUAGAACCA
rnacentral:tRNA from 1 species